GAAAUUAUCUUAUAUAUUGGCAUACGCAUUACUCUUCACUCCCUACAAAAAUAUUGCAUGUAAUUAUAAUAGGAAAAGAUAUAAUAAUAAUAUAAUGUAUCUCAUACAGUGUACGCAGUAUACUUGCCUACGCUAUUGUAGAACGGCCGUACAAUACAGUAACUCAUCUUAUUGCGACUAUAGUAGAAUCAAUUGUUUUCCUAUUCUUUUGUUUCGAUUAAUCAUUUUCAAUAUUGUGUGUCAAUUGUAAAAAUAUUUAUGCUAAGCGGUAUAGUUAGUUAAUUUUAGUUUUUCAUCUGGUUAGACGUUUAGAGAAAGCGAUAGCUAGUGGUGUCCUAAGUUCAGUCAAUCGCACACUUGUCGAGAUGUCGUUAAUACAAAGUAUACCUGAUUUACUUUAUGUGAUUUUAUUUGUUAUCAGUUUGAGUUAUUUGACAUACGCUUUACCUCCAGAAGGCACUGAUGUGACAGAAGCUCCAAAGCAAAGAGGUUUUUUUCACUACCUAAUGCAAGCUUUUCUCGAACGUGUUGACCUAAAUAAGAUUGAAGGAAGAAAUAAUAAUGGCAGAGUUAAGAGGCAGUCUAGUGCAAGCAAAUUACAGGACUCAGCCAAGAUGCCUGGUUCAAAAAUAUUGAUGCUUAUGUUAUCGAUGAUCAGCAAUAUGUUCACCACAGACCCCGUCGGUGGGGUACAUCCAAUGUCACCACAGAAUGCAAGACCAGUGGUCAAGCUCUUCAAGGAAAAAAUUAUAGGAUUCCUUUUUCCCAAACCUGGGAAGGCGCAAAAUUAAUGCAUUUACUAUUUUUAUUAUAAUUGAUUACUUUAUAUUUUUUUACUAACAAUUCAGGCCAGUUAAAAAACUAUGCCGUUUUGUAAUAUUAUUAUCAUUCACUAAGUAUUAAGUUGAUAUUGAUAAUGACGUUUUUCUUUUUGGGAAAUGUGUUUUCUCCUGCGGAAUUGUGUCUUUGUUCAGGAGUAGAUGUACCAAGCAGUGUUUACGAUGCGUUUUCAGAAAAUGGAAUCCUUAUUGUAAAGUGCUAGUAUUUAUAUAAUUUUAUUGAACUCAGCCUUUUUGCGUUUUUUUUUACCGAGAUAUUGUAAAUACAUACAUCUGGAAGAGUUAUUUUAUAGCUUAGAGAGUUUUUAUUUUUAAAAUCAACGUGGUUGUUCGAUUAGAUUAAAACAAUGAAUGCAAUAAAAGGAAUACUUUGUAUGCAAAAGUUUCUUUGAAUUUUAUUCA